GAAGAACCUUACCUGGGUUUGACAUGCACGUGGUACGGAUCCGAAAGGUGAAGGACCUUGCCCUUCGGGGCGAGGAGCGUGCACAGGUGCUGCAUGGCUGUCGUCAGCUCGUGUCGUAGGACGUCGGGUUAAGUCCCGCAACGAGCGCAACCCCCUCUCUUAGUUGCUACCAGGUCAAGCUGAGCACUCUAAGGGGACUGCCGGCGAAUAGCCGGAGGAAGGAGGGGAUGACGUCAAGUCAGUAUGGCCCUUAUGUCCAGGGCGACACAGAUGCUACAAUGGCCGGUACAGAAGGUUGCAAACCCGCAAGGGGGAGCUAAUCCCAAAAACCGGUCUCAAUUCGGAUUGGGGUCUGAAACCCGACCCCAUGAAGCCGGAAUCGCUAGUAAUCGCGGAUCAGCCACGCCGCGGUGAAUACGUACUUGGGCCUUGCACACACCGCCCGUCACACCAGCCGAGUGGGGGGCACUCGAAGGCCGCGCAAGCGGACGAAGGUGCCCUUCGCGAGGGGGGUGAAGUCGUAACAAGGUAGCCGUACCGGAAGGUGCGGCUGGAUCACCUCCUUU
rnacentral:ncRNA from 1 species